rnacentral:rRNA from 1 species
UACGUAGGGCGCAAGCGUUGUCCGGAAUUAUUGGGCGUAAAGAGCUCGUAGGCGGCUUGUCACGUCGGGUGUGAAAGACCGGGGCUUAACCCCGGUUCUGCAUUCGAUACGGGCUGGCUAGAGUGUGGUAGGGGAGAUCGGAAUUCCAGGUGUAGCGGUGAAAUGCGUAGAUAUCUGGAGGAACACCGGUGGCGAAGGCGGCGUUCUGGACUGCAACUGACACUGAGGAACGAAAGCCAGGGGAGCAAACGGG